UCCUCCCUCUGUCGGCGUGCUUAACACAUGCAAGUCGAACGGUAAGGCCCUUCGGGGUACACGAGUGGCGAACGGGUGAGUAACACGUGGGUAAUCUGCCCUGCACUUCGGGAUAAGCCUGGGAAACUGGGUCUAAUACCGGAUAUUCAGUUCCUGCCGCAUGGUGGGGGUUGGAAAGUUUUUCGGUGCAGGAUGAGCCCGCGGCCUAUCAGCUUGUUGGUGGGGUAAUGGCCUACCAAGGCGACGACGGGUAGCCGGCCUGAGAGGGUGAUCGGCCACACUGGGACUGAGACACGGCCCAGACUCCUACGGGAGGCAGCAGUGGGGAAUAUUGCACAAUGGGCGAAAGCCUGAUGCAGCGACGCCGCGUGAGGGAUGACGGUCUUCGGAUUGUAAACCCCUUUCAGUAGGGACGAAGCGCAAGUGACGGUACCUGCAGAAGAAGCACCGGCCAACUACGUG
rnacentral:rRNA from 1 species